rnacentral:rRNA from 1 species
CUACGGGAGGCUGCAGUGAGGAAUAUUGCACAAUGGGGGGAACCCUGAUGCAGCAACGCCGCGUGGAGGAUGACGCAUUUCGGUGUGUAAACUCCUUUUAUAUGUCAAGAAAAUGACGGUAGCAUAUGAAUAAGCACCGGCUAACUCCGUGCCAGCAGCCGCGGUAAUACGGAGGGUGCAAGCGUUACUCGGAAUCACUGGGCGUAAAGGACGCGUAGGCGGGUUGGAAAGUCAGGUGUGAAAUCCUACGGCUUAACUGUAGAACUGCACUUGAAACUUCUAAUCUAGAGUAUGGGAGGGGGAGAUGGAAUUAGGGGUGUAGGGGUAAAAUCCGUAGAUAUCACUAGGAAUACCUAAAGCGAAGGCGAUCUCCUGGAACAUUACUGACGCUAAGGCGUGAAAGCGUGGGGAGCAAACAGGAUUAGAUACCCUAGUAGUC